rnacentral:rRNA from 1 species
GUGCCAGCAGCCGCGGUAAUUCAGAGGUCUCGAGCGUUGUUCGGAUUUACUGGGCGUAAAGGGAGCGUAGGCGGCCGGGUGUGUCGAAUGUGAAAGCCCACAACUCAACUGUGGAAUGGCAUUCGAAACUACCUGGCUAGAGUACUGGAGAGGAGAGCGGAAUUCUUGGUGUAGCGGUGAAAUGCGUAGAUAUCAAGAGGAACACCGGUGGCGAAGGCGGCUCUCUGGACAGAUACUGACGCUGAGGCUCUAAAGUUAGGGGAGCAAACAGGAUUAGAUACCCUGGUAGUCCUAACUGUAAACGGUGUACACUUGGUGUGCGAGGAAUUGUCCCUUUGCGCGCCGGAGCUAACGCGUUAAGUGUACCGCCUGGGGAGUACGGUCGCAAGAUUAAAACUCAAAGAAAUUGACGG